rnacentral:rRNA from 1 species
CAUUCCACGUGGUCCGUGACGAAGUUAACACAUUAAGCACCCCGCCUGGGGAGUACGGCCGCAAGGCUCAAACUCAAAGGAAUUGACGGGGGCCCGCACAAGCGGCGGAGCAUGCGGAUUAAUUCGAUGCAACGCGAAGAACCUUACCAAGGCUUGACAUAUAGAGGAAAAGCGUAGAAAUACGCUCCCCGCAAGGUCUCUAUACAGGUGGUGCAUGGUUGUCGUCAGCUCGUGUCGUGAGGUGUUGGGUUAAGUCCCGCAACGAGCGCAACCCUCGUCCUAUGUUGCCAGCACGUAAUGGUGGGAACUCAUGGGAGACUGCCGGGGUCAACUCGGAGGAAGGUGGGGAUGACGUCAAAUCAUCAUGCCCCUUAUGUCUUGGGCUUCACGCAUGCUACAAUGGCCAGUACAAAGGGCUGCGAUACCGUAAGGUGGAGCGAAUCCCAUAAAGCUGGUCUCAGUUCGGAUUGAGGUCUGCAACUCGACCUCAUGAAGUCGGAGUCGCUAGUAAUCGUAGAUCAGCAACGCUACGGUGAAUACGUUCCCGGGCCUUGUACACACCGCCCGUCAAGUCACGAAAUCGGUAACACCCGAAGCCGGUGGCCUAACCGUAAGGAAGGAACCGUCGAAG